rnacentral:lncRNA from 1 species
UACGAGAGAGAGAGAGAGAGAGAGAGAGAGAGCUUACAAAACCAGCAGAGCAAGGCAUUAAAACAUCUUUUAUCAGAAAUUGGUGGGUUAGAAAGAAUCGGAUUAAGUCGCCAUUGGAACAAACUUGAUGCCCAAUUCAUGCUUGGAAUUAGGGUUGAAAACAGUAACAAAUGUAUCAGAUAUUGAGGAAACCAAAUCUAUUUUCAUCAGAACUGGUGGUUCGGAAGGCAUAUGAUUAAGUCAAUAAGUCGACAAACAUGAUACCUGGUUCAGGCCUAGAAUCAUGGUUGAAGAUGGUCAGUUAUAUGCAAACUUUGAUCUGUAUGCUUUUACUCAUAUACCGGUACUAGAGUUAUACUAACUCCUGUUAAUGAUAUUUACUAAACGUACAUACCAAUCUGAUGUGGAUGUAGGAUGCGAUCAGAUUUAAGGCAGAUAUACAUGUGAACAUCAGAUGAACCAAAGAUCUCUAUCUUUGAUCUCCAAUGACUUUGGCAAUCUUGAUCAUGUCACAGAAGAAACCAUUCAACAUUCUGUCAAUCAACUUUGAUUGACAUGUGAACUAAGUAUAGUUAGAGGGGCCAUAUAGACGAAACCAUUCAACAUUCUGUCAAUAUGUAUUACUUAAGCAUGAGUUAUCUCUGAUCUCCAUUCUGUCAAAGUGGCCAAAAUUGUCAAUCAACAUUCAAC